rnacentral:rRNA from 1 species
GACGAACGCUGGCGGCGUGCUUAACACAUGCAAGUCGAACGGAAAGGCCCUGCUUUUGUGGGGUGCUCGAGUGGCGAACGGGUGAGUAACACGUGAGUAACCUGCCCUUGACUUUGGGAUAACUUCAGGAAACUGGGGCUAAUACCGGAUAGGAGCUCCUGCUGCAUGGUGUGGGUUGGAAAGUUUCGGCGGUUGGGGAUGGACUCGCGGCUUAUCAGCUUGUUUGUGGGGUAGUGGCUUACCAAGGCUUUGACGGGUAGCCGGCAUGAGAGGGUGACCGGACACAUUGGGACUGAGAUAAGGACCAGAAGACUACGGGAGGCAGCAGUGGGGAAUAUUGCACAAUGGGAGGAAGCCUGAUGCAGAAACGCAGCGUGCGGGAUGAAGGCCUUCGGGUUGUAAAAAGCAUUCGACUGUGACGAAGCGUGAGUGACGGUAAUGGGUAAAGAAGCACCGGCUAACUACGUG